rnacentral:rRNA from 1 species
UACGUAGGGUGCAAGCGUUGUCCGGAAUUAUUGGGCGUAAAGAGCUCGUAGGCGGUCUGUCGCGUCGGCUGUGAAAUCCCGAGGCUCAACCUCGGGUCUGCAUCCGAUACUGCCCGGCUAGAGGUAGGUAGGGGAGACUGGAAUUCCUGGUGUAGCGGUGAAAUGCGCAGAUAUCAGGAGGAACACCGGUGGCGAAGGCGGGGUCUCUGGGCCGUAACUGACGCUGGAGGAGCGAAAGCGUGGGGAGCGAACAGG